rnacentral:rRNA from 1 species
GGUUCGAUUAUGGCUCAGAUUGAACGCUGGCGGGAUGUUUACACAAUAUGCAAGUCGAACGGCAGCACGGACUUCGGGUCUGGUGGCGAGUGGCGAACGGGUGAGUAAUGAAUGGAACGUGCCCAGUAGCGGGGGAUAACUACGCGAAAGCGUAGCUAAUAUCAAAUAAUACCCUUCGGGGAAAGCGGGGGGACCUUUCGGGCCUCGCACUAUUAGAGCGGCCGAUAUCGGAUUAGCUAGUUGGUGGGGUAACGGCUCACCAGCGGCGACGAUCCGUAGCUGGUUUGAGAGGACGACCAGUCAUACGGACUGGAGAUUACGGCCCAGACUCCUACGGGAGGCAGUGGGAAUUUUGGACAAUGGGGGAAACCCUGAUCCAGCCAUCUCGCGCGAUGAAGGCCUUCGGUUGUAGCACUUUUGGCAGGAAAGAAACGGUACGGGAUAAUACCCGUGCAACUGACGGUACCUGCAGAAUAAGCACCGGCAACUACGCCAGCAGCCGCGGUAAUACGUAGGGUGCAAGCGUUAAUCGGAAUUACCGGGCGUAAAGCGUGCGCAGGCGGUUCGGAAAGAAAGAUGUGAAAUCCCAGAGCUUAACUUUUGGAACUGCAUUUUUAACUACCGGAUAGAGGUGUCAGAGGGAGGCGGAAUUCGCGUGUAGUGAAAUGCGUAGAUAUGCGGAGAACACUGAUGGCGAAGGCAGCCUCUGAUAACACUGACGUCAUGCACGAAAGCGUGGGGAGCAAAAUAUAAAGAUUAGAUACCCUGGUAGUCCACGCCCUAAACGAUGUCAAUCAGCUGUUGGGGGCCUUCGGGCCUUGGUAGCGCAAAUAACGCGUGAAGUUGACCGCCUGGGGAGUACGGUCGCAAGAUUAAAACUCAAAGGAAUUGACGGGAUUCCGCACAAGCGGUGGAUGAUGUGGAUUAAUUCGAUGCAACGCGAAAAACCUUACUCAAUUCUUGACAUGUCUGGAAUCCUGAAGAGAUUUGGGGAGUGCUCGUACAGAACUGAAACACAGGUGCUGCAUGGCUGUCGUCAUCGUGUCGUGAGAUGUUGGGUUAGCCUCCCGCAACGAGCGCAACCUCGGUCAUUAGUUGCUACGAAAGGGCACUUCUAAUGAGACUGCCGGUGACAAACCGGAGGAAGGUGGGGAUGACGUCAAGUCCUCAUGGCCCUAUGGGUAGUCGCCAUCGUCAUACAAUGGUUUCGACAGAGGGUCGCCAACCCGCGAGGGGGAGCCAUCCCAGAAACCCGAUCGUUGUAGUCCGGAUCGCAGUCUGCAACUCGACUGCGUGGUGUCGGAACGCUGUUAGCAAUCGCGGAUCAGCAUGUCGCGGUGAAUACGUUCCCGGUCUUGUACACACCGCCCGCCACCAUGGGAGUGGGUUUUACCAGAAGUAAAGUUAGCCUAACCGUGGCAGAGUGGCGAUUACCACGGCAGUGGGAUCUGGCGACCGGGGUGGUGAAGUCGUAACAAUAGCAGGGGC